rnacentral:rRNA from 1 species
CUACGGGGCGCUCCAGUGAGGAAUAUUGGACAAUGGGCGAAAGCCUGAUCCAGCAAUACCACGUGAGUGAUGAAGGCCCUCGGGUUGUAAAGCUCUUUUAAUGGGAAAGAUAAUGACGGUACCCAUAGAAAAAGCACCGGCUAAUUCCGUGCCAGCAGCCGCGGUAAUACGGAAGGUGCUAGCGUUGUUCGGAUUUAUUGGGCGUAAAGCGUACGUAGGCGGUUUAGUGUGUUAGAUGUGAAAUCCCGAGGCUUAACCUUGGAAUUGCAUUUAAAACUGCAAGACUUGAGCAUAACAUAGGAUGGUGGAAUUUCUAGUGUAGGGGUGAAAUCCGUAGAUAUUAGAAGGAACACCAGUAGUGAAGACGGCCAUCUUGGUUAUAGCUGACACUAAGGUACGAAAGCGUGGGUAGCAAACAGGAUUAGAUACCCCCGUAGUC